GUCAUCGCUUCGGCAGCACAUAUACUAAAAUUGCAGUGGUACAGGGAAGAUUAGUGUGGGCCCUGCACAAGUCGUGAAAUUCGUGAAGCAUUCCAUACAAAA
ensembl:snRNA U6 U6 spliceosomal RNA